rnacentral:rRNA from 1 species
CCUACGGGUGGCAGCAGUGGGGAAUAUUGGACAAUGGGGGGAACCCUGAUCCAGCGACGCCGCGUGAGUGAAGAAGUCUUUCGGUAUGUAAAGCUCUAUCAGCAGGGAAGAAAAUGACGGUACCUGACUCAGCAGCCCCGGCUAACUACGUGCCAGCAGCCGCGGUAAUACGUAGGGGUCAAGCGUUAUCCGGAUUUGCUGGGGGUAAAGGGGGCGUAGAAGGUGCAGCAAGUCUGAGGUGAAAUGUCGGGGCCCAACCCCGGAAUUGCAGUGGAAACUGUUGAACUGGAGUACAGGAGAGGUAAGCGGAAGUCCUAGUGUAGCGGUGAAAUGCGUAGAUAUUAGGAGGAACACCAGUGGCGAAGGCGGCUUACUGGACUGUAACUGACGUUGAGGCUCGAAAGCGUGGGGAGCAAACAGGAUUAGAUACCCCAGUAGUC